AAUGGCCUCUGAUGAGUAUCUACUAAUCUGCCGCAUUCAGAGCCUGCAAAGUUGAAUUCUUUGAAAUUACUAGGAGAUACACACAGACAUACAUACACGGCAUGGGUUACCAAGUGCAGAGACAACGGUUAACAAAAUUAUCCACUAGUGAAACCAAAACCAGACCAAAACUGCUUGUCGACGUUUCUCUACAUCUAGAAGUCACCGUCUCCUCUACCCAUCGCGGCCCUCUCAAGUGUCACCAGAGACCAGACAGGACCUUGCCCUCAACAGACACACCGGUCUCCUUGAUGUAUUUUAAAUAAAGACUGACCUGUGACGGUAUGCUCAGAGACACGUUUUAGCUCUUCCUGUACCCAGAGUAUAUGGUAUGUGGCAUGAAAGAAAAUAAUUUGCAUAUCCAGCAACUAAAUACUAAUGUUUAGAACGUGAG